rnacentral:rRNA from 1 species
AAAUUGAAGAGUUUGAUCAUGGCUCAGAUUGAACGCUGGCGGCAGGCCUAACACAUGCAAGUCGAGCGGAAACGAGUUAUCUGAACCUUCGGGGGACGAUAACGGCGUCGAGCGGCGGACGGGUGAGUAAUGCCUAGGAAAUUGCCCUGAUGUGGGGGAUAACCAUUGGAAACGAUGGCUAAUACCGCAUGAUGCCUUCGGGUCAAAGAGGGGGACCUUCGGGCCUCUCGCGUCAGGAUAUGCCUAGGUGGGAUUAGCUAGUUGGUGAGGUAAGGGCUCACCAAGGCGACGAUCCCUAGCUGGUCUGAGAGGAUGAUCAGCCACACUGGAACUGAGACACGGUCCAGACUCCUACGGGAGGCAGCAGUGGGGAAUAUUGCACAAUGGGCGCAAGCCUGAUGCAGCCAUGCCGCGUGUGUGAAGAAGGCCUUCGGGUUGUAAAGCACUUUCAGUCGUGAGGAAGGC